UACAGAGGGUGCAAGCGUUAAUCGGAAUUACUGGGCGUAAAGCGUGCGUAGACGGUUAUGUAAGUCUGAUGUGAAAGCCCUGGGCUCAACCUGGGAAUUGCAUUGGAUACUGGCAGGCUAGAGUGCGGUAGGGGAUGGCGGAAUUCCCGGUGUAGCAGUGAAAUGCGUAGAGAUCGGGAGGAACAUCUGUGGCGAAGGCGGCCAUCUGGACCAGCACUGACACUGAGGCACGAAAGCGUGGGGAGCAAACAGG
rnacentral:rRNA from 1 species